rnacentral:rRNA from 1 species
UUCCAGACUCCUACGGGAGGCAGCAGUGGGGAAUAUUGCACAAUGGGGGAAACCCUGAUGCAGCGACGCCGCGUGAGUGAAGAAGUAUUUCGGUAUGUAAAGCUCUAUCAGCAGGGAAGAAAUAGCGACCUUUGGGUCGCCAGACGGUACCUGACUAAGAAGCCCCGGCUAACUACGUGCCAGCAGCCGCGGUAAUACGUAGGGGGCAAGCGUUAUCCGGAUUUACUGGGUGUAAAGGGAGCGUAGACGGCAAUGCAAGCCAGAUGUGAAAACCCGCAGCUCAACUGGGGGAGUGCAUUUGGAACUGUGUAGCUGGAGUGCAGGAGAGGUAAGCGGAAUUCCUGGUGUAGCGGUGAAAUGCGUAGAUAUCAGGAGGAACACCAGUGGCGAAGGCGGCUUACUGGACUGUAACUGACGUUGAGGCUCGAAAGCGCGGGGAGCAAACAGGAUUAGAUACCCUAGUA